rnacentral:rRNA from 1 species
GAUCUGAGAGGUUGAUCAGCCACACUGGAACUGAGACACGGUCCAGACUCCUACGGGAGGCAGCAGUAGGGAAUAUUGCGCAAUGGGGGAAACCCUGACGCAGCGACGCCGCGUGGGUGAUGAAGGCUUUCGGGUCGCAAAGCCCUGUCGAGUGGGACGAAAGACGAUGUGGCUAAUGUCCACGUCGAGUGACGGUACCACUAAAGGAAGCACCGGCUAACUACGUGCCAGCAGCCGCGGUAAUACGUAGGGUGCAAGCGUUGCUCGGAAUCAUUGGGCGUAAAGAGCGUGUAGGUGGCUAGAUAAGUCGGAUGUGAAAUCCCUCGGCUCAACCGAGGAAGUGCAUUCGAAACUAUCUAGCUCGAGGAUGGCAGAGGAAGGUGGAAUUCCUAGUGUAGAGGUGAAAUUCGUAGAUAUUAGGAGGAAUACCGGUGGCGAAGGCGGCCUUCUGGACCAUUCCUGACACUGAGACGCGAAAGCGUGGGUAGCAAACAGGAUUAGAUACCCUGGUAGUCCACGCUGUAAACGAUGGGUACUAGAUGUUGUGGGAAUUGACCCCCGCAGUGUCGUAGCUAACGCGUUAAGUACCCCGCCUGGGAAGUACGGCCGCAAGGUUAAAACUCAAAGGAAUUGACGGGGGCCCGCACAAGCGUGGAGCAUGUGGUUUAGUUCGAUGCUACGCGAAGAACCUUACCUAGAUUUGACAUCCUUUGACCGCCGUAGAAGUACGGCUUUCCCUUCGGGGACAAAGAGACAGGUGCUGCAUGGCUGUCGUCAGCUCGUAUCGUAAGAUGUCGGGUUAAGUCCCUUAACGAGCGCAACCCUUAUCCCUAGUUGCCAUCAUUCAGUUGGGCACUCUAUGGAGACUGCCGGUGUUAAACCGGAGGAAGGUGGGGAUGACGUCAAGUCCUCAUGGCCUUUAUAUCUAGGGCUACACACGUGCUACAAUGGCUGGUACAGAGGGUUGCCAACCCGCAAGGGGGAGCUAAUCUCAGAAAGCCAGUCUCAGUUCGGAUUGGAGUCUGCAACUCGACUCCAUGAAGCUGGAAUCGCUAGUAAUCGCGGAUCAGAACGCCGCGGUGAAUACGUUCCCGGGCCUUGUACACACCGCCCGUCACACCACGAAAGUUGAUUGCACCAGAAGUCGCUGAGCUAACCGUAAGGAGGCAGGCGCCCAAGGUGCGAUCGAUGAUUGGGGUGAAGUCGGAACAAGGUA